UACGCAGGUGGAAAGCGUUGUCCGGAAUUAUUGGGCGUAAAGAGUGCGUAGGCGGUCUAUUAAGUCAUAUUUGAAAGCCCAUGGCUUAACCAUGGAGGGUGAUGUGAAACUGGUAGACUUGAGGACAAGAGAGGAAGGUGGAAUUCCACGUGUAGCGGUGAAAUGCGUAGAUAUGUGGAGGAACACCAGUGGCGAAGGCGGCCUUCUGGCUUGUCUCUGACGAUGAGGCACGAAAGCGUGGGUAGCAAACAGG
rnacentral:rRNA from 1 species